ACACAUGCAGUCGAGCGGCAGCACAAGGGAGUUUACUUCUGAGGUGGCGAGCGGCGGACGGGUGAGUAAUGCCUAGGGAUCUGCCCAGUCGAGGGGGAUAACAGUUGGAAACGACUGCUAAUACCGCAUACGCCCUACGGGGGAAAGGAGGGGACCUUCGGGCCUUCCGCGAUUGGAUGAACCUAGGUGGGAUUAGCUAGUUGGUGAGGUAAUGGCUCACCAAGGCGACGAUCCCUAGCUGUCCUGAGAGGAUGAUCAGCCACACUGGGACUGAGACACGGCCCAGACUCCUACGGGAGGCAGCAGUGGGGAAUAUUGCACAAUGGGGGAAACCCUGAUGCAGCCAUGCCGCGUGUGUGAAGAAGGCCUUCGGGUUGUAAAGCACUUUCAGUAGGGAGGAAAGGGUGAGUCUUAAUACGGCUCAUCUGUGACGUUACCUACAGAAGAAGGACCGGCUAACUCCGUGCCAGCAGCCGCGGUAAUACGGAGGGUCCGAGCGUUAAUCGGAAUUACUGGGCGUAAAGCGUGCGCAGGCGGUUUGUUAAGCGAGAUGUGAAAGCCCUGGGCUCAACCUAGGAAUAGCAUUUCGAACUGGCGAACUAGAGUCUUGUAGAGGGGGGGUAGAAUUCCAGGUGUAGCGGUGAAAUGCGUAGAGAUCUGGAGGAAUACCGGGUGGCGAACGCGGCCCCCUGGACAAAGACUGACGCUCAUGCACGAAGCGUGGGGAGCAAACAGGAUUAGAUACCCUGUAGUCACGCGUAACGAUGUCUACUCGGAGUUGUGUCUGAACACUGGGCUCUCA
rnacentral:rRNA from 1 species